rnacentral:rRNA from 1 species
UACGGGAGGCAGCAGUGGGGAAUAUUGCACAAUGGGCGCAAGCCUGAUGCAGCCAUGCCGCGUGUAUGAAGAAGGCCUUCGGGUUGUAAAGUACUUUCAGUCGUGAGGAAGGUGUUAAGGUUAAUAACCUUAGCAAUUGACGUUAGCGACAGAAGAAGCACCGGCUAACUCCGUGCCAGCAGCCGCGGUAAUACGGAGGGUGCGAGCGUUAAUCGGAAUUACUGGGCUAAAGGGCACGCAGGCGGUUAAUUAAGUUGGAUGUGAAAUCCCCGGGCUUAACCUGGGAAUGGCAUUCAAGACUGGUUAGCUAGAGUCUUGUAGAGGGGGUAGAAUUCCAUGUGUAGCGGUGAAAUGCGUAGAGAUGUGGAGGAAUACCGGUGGCGAAGGCGGCCCCUGGGACAAAGGACUGACGCUCAUGUGCGAAAGCGUGGGGAGCGAAACAGGAUUUAGAUACC